UGAUAGGGAGACCAGGCAGGAAAUAUUGUCUCCUCGAGUUGCAACUAGACAGUAUUUCUUGCCUGGUCUCCCUAUCA
rnacentral:miRNA from 1 species